GAGGCUAGAUCUGAAACAUCGCUCCCCGAGUGACAGGGUGCGAGGCUAAGUCUGAAACAUCGCUCCCCGAGUGACAGGGGACGGGGCUAGAUCUGAAACAUCGCUCCCCGAGUGACAGGGGACGGGGCUAGAUCUGAAACAUCGCUCCCCGAGUGACAGGGGACGGGGCUAGAUCUGAAACAUCGCUCCCCGAGUGACAGGGGACGGGGCUAGAUCUGAAACAUCGCUCCCCGAGUGACAGGGGGCGGGGCUAGAUCUGAAACAUCGCUCCCCGAGUGACAGGGUGCGAGGCUAGAUCUGAAACAUCGCUCCCCGAGUGACAGGGGACGGGGCUAGAUCUGAAACAUCGCUCCCCGAGUGACAGGGGACGGGGCUAGAUCUGAAACAUCGCUCCCCGAGUGACAGGGGGCGGGGCUAGAUCUGAAACAUCGCUCCCCGAGUGACAGGGGCGGGGCUAGAUCUGAAACAUCGCUCCCCGAGUGACAGGGGGCGGGGCUAGAUCUGAAACAUCGCUCCCCCCGAGAGACAGGGGGCAGGGCUAGAUCUGAAACAUCGCUCCCCGAGUGACAGGGGGCGGGGCUAGAUCUGAAACAUCCCUCCCCGAGUGACAGGGGGCGGGGCUAGAUCUGAAACAUCCCUCCCCGAGUGACAGGGGGCGGGGCUAGAUCUGAAACAUCGCUCCCCGAGUGACAGGGGGCGGGGCUAGAUCUGAAACAUCGCUCCCCGAGUGACAGGGGGCGGGGCUAGAUCUGAAACAUCGCUCCCCGAGUGACAGGGGGCGGGGCUAGAUCUGAAACAUCGCUCCCCGAGUGACAGGGGGCGGGGCUAGAUCUGAAACAUCGCUCCCCGAGUGACAGGGGGCGGGGCUAGAUCUGAAACAUCGCUCCCCGAGUGACAGGGGGCGGGGCUAGAUCUGUGUGGAAAGCGGCAUGGAGAGGAGAGAGAUGACUCAAGUAGCAGAGUAAACUAUAAAAACGGAUGUUAUACAUAGCGUGUAAUUUAACAAACCUAACAUUGAAAUACCUUUUUAUAGAAGGUGAAGUAAAAACCCAAACUGGUCCAUGCAUCAAUACCGGUGUAUAGUCAAAUAUGGUAUAUCGUCCAGCCCUAGUACUGAAUACUGUGUAAUAUAUACUCUUUACUGGAGAAGCAUGAACCAUUGUGGAAAUGAAAUGUGGAUGAGAUGAAUGACUUCUUGUUGAUGUUGUUGUUGUUGUUGACAACCACAGAAUACACCACCCUCCGAGAAUCUCCACACCGAAUAUUCCUGGGAAACAUCUUCACAACACUGUCCUGUCAAUCAUCUCCACAACACUGUCCUGUCUAAA